GCUGAGGCUGUGUAGAGGCUACUGGAGAGGCUGAGGCUGUGGAUUACUAAAACUGAGGAAUUCUGAGCUGCAGUAAAACUAAGCCCAUCAGGUGCCCAAACUAAGUCUGUCACCAAUAUGGUGAGCCAUUGGAAAUGGGGGCCACCAGGCUGCCUAAAGAGGAGCAAACUGACCCAGAUUGGAAACAGAGCAGGUGAAGCUUCUAUAUCUAUCAGUCGUGGGUUCAGGCCUGUGAGUGGCCACUGGACUUCAAGCCUGGGCAAAGUAGUGAGACUCGAUCUCA
rnacentral:SRP_RNA from 1 species